CAAAUAGAAACCUCUUUUUAUGCAUUUUCAAUCAGUUAGUGGCCAAAUCUGCCUAUAAAAUGAUGUCAAAUAAAUUUAUAUUUAAGUUUUAAAAGAAACUGGUAAAUUCUUAAAGUUGCAUUUAAUAUUUAAUGUUGUAUAUAUUAUUAUAUAUAAUACGUUAAAUCAUUUCUAUUUAUGCAGUUUUAUUGCAGUUUUAUGCUUCUGAGAGUGAGCGUAGCCCUAAUGGAUUAUGCACUGGGAAAGACUCAGUAUGGUUAACCUCUGAUCUCUGAUUAAUUUGAAUUUCCUCAUUCCUUCUUGCUUCUGAAUCAGGAUCUAAUCAAGACUAAUCUGAGUCAGAGUAUUGUGCUCUGAAUUUGGGAAGCUCAGUGGAUCAGGAAAUUGGUCUUAGAAACCUUAUAGAAGAUAUUGUGCCUUACACAGCUGGCUUAUUCCAGGGCUGGAGAAAGGAGACAUUUGAUCAAGAUGACUACUCUGAAUAAAGAUGCAUGCUUGUGAUACUGGAGAAACUGGAUAGACAGACAAGGCUGGCACCAUCUUCCUCAGUUCAGGUGGAACAUACUGGAACAAAGAUAUCCAAAACAUUGAAGACUAAUAGGUAACUAAUUCCUCUCCACAAAAGCAACUUAGUACCAUUAGAGGUGAAAUAAAGGAAUGAGCUGCAAAAGAAGAGCAAUAACACUUGGAUAUUAGGUUAUCUGAUUAAGAGAAAUGUAACAAUUAAUAAACUUUGAAAAAAAAUAGGAGGAAAUUUGAAAUGCCUGGUGGGAAAGCAUUAAAGGAGAGAAGUGAAAUAAGCCAACUGAGGCAAGAAUUAUACAAGGAACUGCAUAAAUAGCCUUGUUUCUUCUUAAAUAACAAGUUUUGAAGACAGAGCUCUUUCAAAUAACUGUCUCUUUGCAACAUAAAUAUAAUGCUCACGAUAUUAAAUGUUGUUCCAAAGGAAACUACUACUACUACUUGUCUCACAUAUUUAGCCCUCGUGUAGGUUCGUGAAUGGAGUUUCAGAACAGAUUCAGGAAAUUUAAUAAAUGUAAUGAAAAAAAGAAAUGAAAAAAAAAAACCAAACCCAAAUGAACCC